UACGGAAGGCAGCACUGGGGAAUAUUGCACAAUGGGCGAAAGCCUGAUGCAGCUAUGCCGCGUGUAUGAAGAAGGCCUUAGGGUUGUAAAGUACUUUCAUCGGGGAGGAAAAAACAAAACUAAUAAUUUUAUUUCUUGACGUUACCCGAAAAAGAAGCACCGGCUAACUCCGUGCCAGCAGCCGCGGUAAUACGGAGGGUGCUAGCGUUAAUCAGAAUUACUGGGCGUAAAGAGCACGUAGGUGGUUUUUUUAAGUCAGAUGUGAAAUCCCUGGGCUUAACCUAGGAACUGCAUUUUGAAACUGAAAUACUAGAGUAUCGUAGAGGGAGGUAGAAUUCUAGGUGUAGCGGUGAAAUGCGUAGAUAUCUGGAGGAAUACCUGUGGCGAAAGCGGCCUCCUAAACGAAUACUGACACUGAGGUGCGAAAGCGUGGGGAGCAAACAGGGAUUAGAUACC
rnacentral:rRNA from 1 species